rnacentral:rRNA from 1 species
UACGGGGGGGACAAGCGUUGUUCGGAUUUACUGGGCGUAAAGGGCGCGUAGGCGGACCUUCAAGUCGGAUGUGAAAACUGGCGGCUCAACUGCCAGCCUGCAUUUGAUACUGUCGGCCUUGAGUACAGGAGAGGAGAAUGGAAUUCCAGGUGUAGCGGUGAAAUGCGUAGAUAUCUGGAAGAACACCAGUAGCGAAGGCGGUUCUCUGGACUGAUACUGACGCUUAAGCGCGAAGGCUUGGGGAGCAAACAGG